AUUGAACGCUGGCGGCAGGCCUAACACAUGCAAGUCGAGCGGAGCGGCGGACGGGUGAGUAAUGCCUAGGAAUCUGCCUGGUAGUGGGGGAUAACGUCCGGAAACGGGCGCUAAUACCGCAUACCAUCAGAUGUGCCCAGAUGGGAUUAGCUAGUUGGUGGGGUAACGGCUCACCAAGGCGACGAUCCCUAGCUGGUCUGAGAGGAUGACCAGCCACACUGGAACUGAGACACGGUCCAGACUCCUACGGGAGGCAGCAGUGGGGAAUAUUGCACAAUGGGCGCAAGCCUGAUGCAGCCAUGCCGCGUGUAUGAAGAAGGCCUUCGGGUUGUAAAGUACUUUCAGCGGGGAGGCGUUACCCGCAGAAGAAGCACCGGCUAACUCCGUGCCAGCAGCCGCGGUAAUAC
rnacentral:rRNA from 1 species